rnacentral:rRNA from 1 species
GAUGAACGCUGGCGGCGUGCCUAAUACAUGCAAGUCGAACGCUUCUUUUUCCACCGGAGCUUGCUCCACCGGAAAAAGAGGAGUGGCGAACGGGUGAGUAACACGUGGGUAACCUGCCCAUCAGAAGGGGAUAACACUUGGAAACAGGUGCUAAUACCGUAUAACAAUCGAAACCGCAUGGUUUUGAUUUGAAAGGCGCUUUCGGGUGUCGCUGAUGGAUGGACCCGCGGUGCAUUAGCUAGUUGGUGAGGUAACGGCUCACCAAGGCCACGAUGUAUAGCCGACCUGAGAGGGUGAUCGGCCACAUUGGGACUGAGACACGGCCCAAACUCCUACGGGAGGCAGCAGUAGGGAAUCUUCGGCAAUGGACGAAAGUCUGACUGAGCAACGCCGCGUGAGUGAAGAAGGUUUUCGGAUCGUAAAACUCUGUUGUUAGAGAAGAACAAGGAUGAGAGUAACUGUUCAUCCCUUGACGGUAUCUAACCAGAAAGCCACGGCUAACUACGUGCCAGCCGCCGCAGUAA